rnacentral:rRNA from 1 species
CCUACGGGAGGCAGCAGUGAGGAAUAUUGGUCAAUGGGCGGAAGCCUGAACCAGCCAAGUAGCGUGCGGGAUGAAGGCCCUACGGGUCGUAAACCGCUUUUGCACGGGGAUAACACCCUCCACUUGUGGAGGUCUGCAGGUACCGUGCGAAUAAGGGCCGGCUAAUUCCGUGCCAGCAGCCGCGGUAAUACGGAAGGCCCGAGCGUUAUCCGGAUUCAUUGGGCUUAAAGGGAGCGUAGGCGGGCGUUCAAGUCAGCGGUAAAAUCGCGCGGCUCAACCGCGCCCCGCAGUUGAAACUGGACGCAUUGAGUGCACAACAGGCAGGCGGAAUUCGUGGUGUAGCGGUGAAAUGCAUAGAUAUCACGAGGAACCUCGAUUGCGAAGGCAGCCUGCCGGGGUGCGACUGACGCUGAGGCUCGAAGGUGCGGGUAUCAAACAGGAUUAGAUACCCUAGUAGUC